GCCUGUGGAUAGCUCAGUUGGUAGAGCAUUAGACUUUUAAUCUCACGGCCAUGGGUUUGAGCCCCAUGUUGGGAA